rnacentral:rRNA from 1 species
AACGCGAAGAACCUUACCAAGGCUUGACAUACACCGGAAACUGGCAGAGAUGUCAGCCCCCUUGUGGUCGGUGUACAGGUGGUGCAUGGUUGUCGUCAGCUCGUGUCGUGAGAUGUUGGGUUAAGUCCCGCAACGAGCGCAACCCUUGUCCUGUGUUGCCAGCGGGUUAUGCCGGGGACUCACGGGAGACUGCCGGGGUCAACUCGGAGGAAGGUGGGGACGACGUCAAAUCAUCAUGCCCCUUAUGUCUUGGGCUGCACACGUGCUACAAUGGCCGGUACAAUGAGCUGCGAUGUCGUGAGGCGGAGCGAAUCUCAAAAAGCCGGUCUCAGUUCGGAUUGGGGUCUGCAACUCGACCCCAUGAAGUCGGAGUCGCUAGUAAUCGCAGAUCAGCAUGCUGCGGUGAAUACGUUCCCGGGCCUUGUA